AGACAGAAACGUAGCACACCUGUCUCCAGAGGCUUCACUCAGCGGCUGAAAGCCACAGCCAAUCCUCAGAUGGAGCUCAAUCUUCAGGAAACAUCUCAACGAAGAACAAGAGAGGCUGGAGAAGAAUGGGGAAGGGUUUGAUCUCUGAAGUUCCUCAGUGUCCACUAGCACAGCACUUGUCCUUGGGAGAUGACAUCUUUCACUCUUCCUGACUGUUGCACCAAUCAGAAUUACAAGCUCUGUGGAUGAACCUGUAAAAGAGGACAGUUGCUCUUGGGCCAAUAUGGAGGUUCCUGACCUCUCAGCAAGCUCACGGCUGACUUUUGAGGUCUCUUGAGGGUGAGCAAAAUGAAGACACACAGAGUAGCCUCAGGUUGAGUCAGCCAGGCCCAGACGGCUCAGUGGUGUCUCUCAGAUUCCCAGGCCCUCCCUGAGAUUGAACACACUACACAGUUUAAGAGGAUUAGGGGAUUACCAGGAAAUGCAGUUGCUCAGGUGUCUGGCUCUGUAGGAGGGAAAUAAAUCACAGUGGGAAGCUUCAGGACAGUCAGGUGACCUGAGCCCUCACAGAGUCUAAGUCCAGACUCACAGACAUUCAUCUGUCCACAAGUCUCCUAAACACAGGCCUUGACUGACCUGCAGUCCAGAGUAUGUUAUUAUACAGUGUCGCUUAGAGAGAGGACAUACUUUCCAAUUAGGCCUUUUCUGUGUCACACUGAGACUGGGUUUAUGGUACAGCUGAUGCAGAUGGGGACUGGCCACAAGUGGCAGUCUAUCGCAGAUCAUGAAAUAAAUAAAUAAAUAAAUAAAUAAAUAAAUAAAUAAAUA